GGGCUCACACAAGCGGUGGAGGAUGUGGCUUAAUUCGAGGCUACGCGAAGAACCUUAUCCAGGCCUUGACAUAUACGGAUGCUGCCCGUGAAAGCGGGUUCGUUGCCUUCGGGUGAAACGUAUACAGGUGCUGCAUGGCUGUCGUCAGCUCGUGUCGUGAGAUGUCGGGUUAAGUCCCUUAACGAGCGAAACCCUUGUCCCUAGUUGCCAGCGAGUCAUGUCGGGGACUCUAGGGAGACUGCCGGUGUUAAACGGAGGAAGGUGGGGAUGACGUCAAGUCCUCAUGGCCCUUACGGGUUGGGCUACACACGUGCUACAAUGGUAGUGACAAUGGGUUAAUCCCAAAAAGCUAUCUCAGU
rnacentral:rRNA from 1 species